rnacentral:lncRNA from 1 species
GCAGAAGAAGAAUGGAGAUGCAUCUGAGUACCUCCUUAGUAGUUUUGUGGCUUCUUUUUUAUUGGGUGAAUGGCAAAAACCAAGUGGAACAGCGUCCUCUGUCCCUGACCAUCCUGGAGGGAGAGAAUUGCACGAUUCACUGCAAUUAUACAGUGUUAUGCACAGAAAAAAGACAGUAUCUUGCUUCUUGUAUAAUUGGAUGUAAAUUGUAAGAAGAAUCCACACAAGCUUUAUGAGGCAGGGCUCAGAUAUAAGGCGAAUAUACUGAGCUAGUGUCAAGAACUAGAUUCAUACACAGGAACUCAUUUAGCAGACUUUUGCAUUGAGAGGAGAGUAAAAAAACAUUUCUAGAUUUUUUUGUGGGGAGGGAUACUUUUUAAUUAUUCAAUUUUUAAAAAUUGUACAUAGUAGGUACUCAAGAAAUUUGUAGACGUAAAAAGGAAAGAGAACAGUAGGGGUAAACAGUUGAUGCAGCUCUCCAAAAUCCUGCACCUGGCUCUCUUUCCGUUGUUACUUCAGAGAUCAGGAAUAGCUGUGUGAGUCUGCGCACUUGGGCAUGGAUCUAAUUUCUGAUUGGCUGAGGAGCCUCUGAGCUUCCUGUGACAACAGAAACAGGAAUAUGUGCUCAGAAAAACAAGACGUUUGGAGCCUUAGGGCUCUCAAACUCCAACUUGAGUCCCCAUGAAUCUGAUGAAUGAAGAAAUGGAAAAGUCCUUGGGAGUUUUCUGCGUGGUUCUGUUUUGGCAGCUGUACUCUGAGUUGGUGGGCUUUAGAGAAAUGAAUGAGAGGGGUAGAUUCUAGUAACCAUAAAUCUGAAAGUUAUAGAAGGGUCGUUAGAGUUACUAGAAUCCCCUGGGGGAUUAUUGAAAGGAAAUUUAUUCUUUCAAAAAAUAAUGAGCCCUUAAUAAAUCUCCUCUGUCUGUGUUCUGUUUAAACAGGCGUGAGAACCUCAGAUACACUGGGCCAGAGUCCUUCAUUCCUGAGUAUCCAGGAGGGAGCACAUGCCGUUCUUAAUUGUACCUAUCAAAAGAAAACAUUUUACAGCUUCCAUUGGUUCAGGCAGGAUCCUGGGAAAGGACUUACAUCUUUGACUUUAAUUCAAUUGAGCUGGAAGGAGUAGGCAGACAAAGAUUUUAAAGAGCUGCUUGGAGAAGAGAAGUUUUAUAGUGUUUGGCAUAACUCAGCCUCCCGCCUUGGGGACUCAGCCACCUACUUUUGUGCUUUGCGGCACAGUGCUCUCCCAGCACCUGCAGCCUGUCCCCAAACCAGCAACUGGGCCUCCUGAUGGGGGUCUAGCCUUGUGGGUGGGCGUGAAGGUGUUUCUUGGUCUAUAGAGGGAAUUUUCUUAAAAUCUCUGUCUCUAAGCAGAAGUUGAGAAUAAUAUACUGCUCCCAUAUGUGAUGAAUCUGAUUUUAUACUGAAUUAAAUUUCCUUUUGCUCAUUCCUCAAUGCAGAUCGUCCUCCUUUUGGGCCUGUUUGCCUGGAUUCCCUUCCACUCUCUGCCCUCUGAUCUGAAGGGUCAGUUCCCAGUCAAAACAAGUUGUACCCUCAUCAGUAGUGUUGAACUCACUGGUUCACAAUCUUCAGGAUAUUUUCAAUAUUUGUGUACCACAUACCAUUAUUCACUAUUUUAAUAUUAAAUUGGCUUUUAUAUUAUAUAGACUUUAAAAAUGAAGAUGCCAAAAAUUAUCCCUGUUUUAAUGGCUAUUUUAUGUGAAACCAUAUAUUUUAUGUGCAGAUGUGUUUUUUCUCUUACACAUUAAAAUAACACCUUUUU